rnacentral:rRNA from 1 species
UACGUAGGUGGCAAGCGUUGUCCGGAAUUAUUGGGCGUAAAGCGCGCGCAGGCGGUCCUUUAAGUCUGAUGUGAAAGCCCACGGCUCAACCGUGGAGGGUCAUUGGAAACUGGGGGACUUGAGUGCAGAAGAGGAAAGUGGAAUUCCACGUGUAGCGGUGAAAUGCGUAGAGAUGUGGAGGAACACCAGUGGCGAAGGCGGCUUUCUGGUCUGUAACUGACGCUGAGGCGCGAAAGCGUGGGGAGCAAACAGG